CUCACAUCCAGGGUACUGUCACAAACGAAAGUUAACUUGUUCACCUGUUCCGUUGCCUAUUGUCUGUCUGCUCUAUGAGAAUAUAAGCUCCAUGAGGGCCCUCUGUCUUGUCUGCAACUAGAGUGCCCCCUAGCACAUGGUAGGUGUUCAGUUAAAUUCUUGUGAAGUAAAUCAAUCAAUAGGGAACACAGUACGUUUCAAUAAAUGUUAGCUUUGUUCCUUACCCUGACUCACCGUGUCGUUUUUACCUUUUUUCUUUAGCCUGGGUUCCACCAGAGUGAAGCAGAGAAGCCCAGACCAUGUGGCCUGUCUUACGAAUCUCUAACCCUUGACAUCUUGAGCCUAUGCUGUCUCCGGUUAAACUGAGGCAUCUAGAGAGGCUGUUCCAGCACCUUUUAUUGAAAAGACAUACUUUUGGGGAGGACUCAAGAUGGCGCUGUGAGAACAACCCAGGAUUGGAGCUCUCAUUGAAUCCGCAAAGAGGUGAGUCCGAGCUGCAUUUUUAGACUGAUCUUUGUUGCCCACAGAACGGGGAAACUCCCAAGUAUAGAAAAGACACGGGACGCCAGGCAGUAAGUCUGCCUGGCGAAGCCGGCAGCCGGGGCGGCGGCGGCCAGCCCUACCCAGCAAUCCCCACAGGGUGCGCUUGUCCGGGUGCCCUGUUGAACCAGCAACCUGAGACUUGAGAGGGCUGGACUUGAGACUGAACGAGACUUGGACAGUAGGCCAGCCCAGGGGAUUGCAGGGACAGAGCGUUCGGGAUACCCAGUGGGACGAACAAAACCGCGAUUUCAAACUAUCCCGAGCAGACGGUCCAAGACGCUCUGUGGGGGAGGGGAAUCCACCACUACCGAGGCAACCUGCCCCAACUGAGAUACACGCCCACUGCUGACGCAGCCAGCCGUUGCCGAGGCAACCCGUCCCUACUGAGAUACACACCCACGCGGACGCAGCCUCCCGUUGCCGAGGCA
rnacentral:lncRNA from 1 species